rnacentral:rRNA from 1 species
AGUGGGGAAUAUUGCGCAAUGGGGGAAACCCUGACGCAGCAACGCCGCGUGGGUGAUGAAGGUUUUCGGAUCGUAAAACCCUGUUUUCUGGGACGAUAAUGACGGUACCAGAUGAGGAAGCCACGGCUAACUACGUGCCAGCAGCCGCGGUAAUACGUAGGUGGCAAGCGUUGUCCGGAUUUACUGGGCGUAAAGGGUGCGUAGGCGGAUGCUUAAGUGAGAUGUGAAAUACCUAGGCUUAACUUAGGGGCUGCAUUUCAAACUGGGCAUCUAGAGUACAGGAGAGGGAAACGGAAUUCCUAGUGUAGCGGUGAAAUGCGUAGAGAUUAGGAAGAACACCAAUGGCGAAGGCAGCCACCUGGGCCAAUACUGACGCUGAGGUACGAAAGCGUGGGGAGCAAACAGGAUUAGAUACCCUGGUAGUCCACGCCCUAAACGAUG